rnacentral:lncRNA from 1 species
GUUGUUCUGUGUGUGUUUUUUGGGGAGGGGGAGAAUGAAGGCAAGGUGGGGGCAGGAGGUGGGGGAGUGGGACGAAUGUGUGUCUGUGAGUGUUGACUGUGUGUGUGUGUGUGUUGUGUGUGUGUGUGUGUGUGUGUGUGUGUGUGUGUGCAGGGGUCGGAGUGUGUAUGUGUGUGUGUGUGGGGGGGGGGGGGGUCCGUGUUUGUGAUCUGAACCUUUGGUACCUACAAGGAGGGUGUCUCACCGAACGGUAGCUAAAACCUCACCAGGACCGCACGGAACUGUGGAGACACAGCCGAAGGCGCCGCCGGAGCCUCAUAUCUGGGCCGGACCCCAGACCCAGCGCUGCAAGGAGCCCCCCGCCCGGAUCACAGGUAUCUUAUCAAAGCUGCAGCACUGCAUGUGACCUGGGCAUGGAAGUGAGCAAGAUGCUAAAAAUUGAUGGUUAAAACUCAGACCACAGUGAAGUCACGUCUUUAAGCUACAGUGUGAAGAGUCAGUUUUUCUCUGACAGGGAUCAAUGGAUUGGGGGAAGCACUGGGACCACGAGGUUUUUCUGCUCCAAAUACUAUCUUCAAGUGGAGAGUAAGAAUUAGGAAUCUGAACUUCUGGACUGGAGAAUGGAAUGUGUUUGGAAGGAAAUGUUUCUCCUGGAAUCUAUUUCUAAGAAGACAUGGUUUCUACAUAAUGGAGAGCUACAUAAUAUGACCAAAUUUGGAGCAAACAGCAGGGUGCCACAGUCAUCACUCCACUUUGCAUUUCCUGGAUGCAAUGCAACAGGAAAAUUCUGCAGUUCAUCCUCAGCAGGGGCUAGUGUAAUACAAUGCAAGUCUUGCUUUGGUUACAAAUGAACAUUAAUAAAAAAUGAUUUUGUGAUGCUGUAUUCA